UUCCGUACGUGAACCUGCGGAAGGAUCAUUACCGUUACUCUGUUACUCUUAGUUGAGUAUACACUGUAAACCACUGUGAACUGUUUUAAGCUUGCGGGGUGGUUCUUCGGAAUCUCAAAUGCAGUUAGCUGAGGCUGCUGCGGCCCCGCAUGUCUGCCUCUUUAUGUUUUUUCAAAACACUGUUAUUCCAGUUAAAUGUCACUCUGUGUCUUUCUCCCUUGUGGGGGAAGAUGUAGUUUGAUAAGUUGAAACACAUGACAACUUCUAACGGUGGAUCUCUUGGCUCGUGCAUCGAUGAAGAACGUAGCCAGUUGCGAUAAGUAGUGUGAAUUGCAGAAUUCAGUGAAUCAUCGAAUCUUUGAACGCAAAUUGCGCUCUCUGGAUAUCCAGGGAGCAUGCCUGUCUGAGUGUCGUGAUAAAAACUACACACCACUGGUGUGGCAUGUGGGUUUCGCGUUUGCAUCGUCUUGAACUAGAUGGUGAACUAAACUCGUCCCGCGAAGUGCGUGAACCUGAAUGUGCUGCUGUGCACGUGCAUUAGGAAGGCUCAACUUGCUUCUGUCUUUCCCUAUGCGUUAUCAUGCCAGUAGAUACAUUACAGUAGGUGAACUAGACGCUGCUUUCCACUCUUUCCAGUGUGGAACGGAGUGUCAAAUUCUGAUUUUGACCUCAGAUCAGACAAGACUACCCGCUGAAUUUAAGCAUAUCAAUA
rnacentral:rRNA from 1 species